UGCAGAACUUGAAUCUUUUCUUUCAGGGUAUUCAUUCAUUCGUUUACUCGCUGCCUCACUAACUGACAUGUACUGAGUGCUUUCUACGUGUCAAGCACAGGACUAUGAUCGGUUCCUAGAUUGACAGAGAACUGGGUAAAUUCAAUCAAUAGCACAUCUUGAGUUUGAGCAUUUCUGGACUGGAUAGAGAAAUACGCUGAAUAUCAUCAGGAUUACGCAGCUAAACAGGUGUGAUCCUCGGUCACUGAAAGUAAAAAGGAAGAGCAUGCAAACACUGUGCUGGAGGGUUCUUACCCAGGCUUCCAUGUAAUGAAUGACAUACACUCCUGAUACCAACAAGCACUUUUCACUCUGCAUUAUGUAACUUGGCAUGGCAAAAUAAAGUGAAAAAUGA